rnacentral:rRNA from 1 species
AGGACGAACGCUGGCGGCGCGCUUAACACAUGCAAGUCGAACGUGAAGCUGGAGCUUGCUCCGGUGGAAAGUGGCGAACGGGUGCGUAACACGUGAGCAACCUGCCCCGAAGACUGGGAUAACACCGGGAAACCGGUGCUAAUACCGGAUACCUUCUUCCGAUCGCAUGGUUGGAUGAAGAAAUGGAUUCCGCUUCGGGAUGGGCUCGCGGCCUAUCAGCUUGUUGGUGAGGUAACGGCCCACCAAGGCGACGACGGGUAGCUGGUCUGAGAGGACGACCAGCCACACUGGGACUGAGACACGGCCCAGACUCCUACGGGAGGCAGCAGUGGGGAAUCUUGCUCAAUGGGCGAAAGCCUGAAGCAGCGACGCCGCGUGCGGGAUGAAGGCCCUCGGGUUGUAAACCGCUUUCAGCAGGGACGAAAUUGACGGUACCUGCAGAAGAACGGCCCGGCCAACUACGCGCCAGCAGCCGC